rnacentral:rRNA from 1 species
CACACCUGGCUUCAUUCCACUCUUCAACCCCUGUGCACUUGUUGUAGGUUUCAGGUCGGACGCGGGGCUUUCGACUUCAUCGUCGAGAGCUUCAAGGAAAGCCUGAGCCUAUGUUUUACUACACACACGCUUCAGUUAUAGAAUGUAAACAUCGCGUAUAACGCAUUUUAAAUACAACUUUCAGCAACGGAUCUCUUGGCUCUCGCAUCGAUGAAGAACGCAGCGAAAUGCGAUAAGUAAUGUGAAUUGCAGAAUUCAGUGAAUCAUCGAAUCUUUGAACGCACCUUGCGCUCCUUGGUAUUCCGAGGAGCAUGCCUGUUUGAGUGUCAUGGAAUUCUCAACCUUUGAAAGCUUUUAUUGGUUCUCAAAGGCUUGGACUUGGAGGUCGUGUCGGCUCUGCAAAGAAUAUCGACUCCUCUGAAACGUAUCAGUGCGAACCUUUACGGAUCGUCUUCGGUGUGAUAAACGUCUACGCCGUGGUCGUGAAGUAUGAUCGUGUCCGUGCUUCUAACCGUCUCCUUUGCGAGACAAAAACUGUGUUACUUACUACAAGUAACAUAGGCAUUGACAAUCUGACCUCAAAUCAGGUAGGACUA